GCCAGGCGUGGUGAUGUGUGCCUAUAGUCCCAGCUACUCGGGAAGCUGAGGUAAGAGGACCGCCUGAGCCCAGGAGUUUUGGGCUGUAGUGGGCUGUGCUAACCAGGUAUCUGCACGAAGUUUGGCAGCAACAUGGUGACCUUCUAGGAGUGGGGAACCACCAGCUUGCUAAGGAGGGGUGAACCGACCCAAGUAGGAAAGGGAGCAGGUCAAAACUCCCAUGCCAAUGAGUAAUGGGAUUGUGCCUAUGAAUAUUCACUGCACUGCAGCCUGGCAACGUAAUAAGACCCCGUCUCUA
rfam:Gorilla gorilla gorilla genomic chromosome, chr21, whole genome shotgun sequence